GGCGGACGGGUGAGUAACGCGUGAGUAACCUGCCUUAUACAGGGGGAUAACAACCAGAAAUGGUUGCUAAUACCGCAUAAGCGCACAGGACCGCAUGGUCCGGCGUGAAAAACUCCGGUGGUAUAAGAUGGACCCGCGUCUGAUUAGCUUGUUGGUGAGGUAACGGCCUACCAAGGCGGCGAUCAGUAGCCGACCUGAGAGGGUGACCGGCCACAUUGGGACUGAGACACGGCCCAGACUCCUACGGGAGGCAGCAUG
rnacentral:rRNA from 1 species